rnacentral:lncRNA from 1 species
UAUGAAUAUCCAUAUAUACAAAGCAAUGCUAGACGCAAAGGUUAAAUGUUGACCUUGGUGAAAUAGUUCUCCUAUAGCCUUGCUUAAGUCCAUUCGGGUUUUGUUUGCAACAGUUGCAUACCGUGACUAUAGGUUAAGAAAAGUCUCUUGGAGCUGAAAUCUUAGAUUUGAUGAAAAGUCAAAGUGUUUGAUUUUAUCAAAUUUGAAAAUGAAUUGUGUGUUUACAAGAAGAUAGUGGGAGCAUUUUUCAUAUUCCUAAAACGACAUCCCUAUAUUUCAAUCGUUGAAAUAAUGGUUGUUAAAAGAUUUAUUCAUAAAUGAUAUGGGAUAAGCAACUUGAUCUAUAGAGGUAGAUCUAGAAGAUUGCUUAACUUAUCCCAAUUUACAUAGAUGAAAUCUUGAGAAGAUUUCAUAUGGAGAAACUGGUUUACUCUUAAGCGGUAUGUUGGAAAGGUUCCAAACGUGAAGCAGCCGUUGAUUCAAUAGUAGAAACCUAAUACAUGAAUACUUCAGAAGUAGCAAAGAGUUGCAAUAUGGAUCAUGAUGUUCAUAAAUGAACUUGGAGUAGUUCCUGAUAUUGUUGAUCACAUACAAUAGUAUUAUGAUAACAAUAGAGCCAUUGCGAAAGCAAAGGAACUAAGGUCUCAUCAAUGAUCCAAACAUGUAUUAAAACGGUAUAAUCUCAUCAGAGAGAUAAUACAUGGAAAUGACGUAGAGAGAAGAGCAAAUUUCCACAUUUAAUAAAAUUGCAGAUCCACUGACAAAGAGUUGUCGUAGUAUAAACAUGAUCGUCAUGUAGACUUAUGAUAUUUGAUACAUAAGUGAUUGGAUCUAGUGCAAGUGGGAGUUUGUAAGUAUUAUGCCCUAGGUCCAAUCAACUUUGGACAUAAAUACUUUUAUAUAUAAUUAAUGCAAUUAAAU